UUUAAUUACUAAUUAAAAAAAUAUAAUUAAUGUUGUGAAUAUUACUAUCCCAAAAUUCUUUAAAAUAUGUUAAAUAUCAUAAUUAAAAUUUACUUCUAGUUACAAAAAACAAAGCUUUUCGAUUAAGUGUUUAAUUUAUAUUAGCAAAAAACCGAAAAGGUAUUAAAAACUAAACCGAAAUUAUUUAAUAAAAUCAGUCAAAAGAUG
rnacentral:lncRNA from 1 species